GCCUUCGUGGUGUAGUGGUCAGCACACUCAAUGCAUAACUGAGAAGUCCGUGAUUCGAUUCCUGGUGAAAGCA
rnacentral:tRNA from 1 species